rnacentral:tRNA from 2 species
GCUGGGUUGAUGUAAUGGCAACAUGGUCGCUUUGUAAGCGUCUCAUACGAGUUCGAGUCUCGUACCCAGCUCCA